rnacentral:lncRNA from 1 species
UCGGAGUCUCUGCCUGUCUGCUACCUAUUUACCUGCCUGUCACUUGUCCUGUGCAAGUGGAGGCGCUGUGAUUCCCCAGGACUCAUCCAGUCCCUUUCUUUUCGCAGUUUCUGUUCUUCCGUGCCCAGCCUGGUGGGAUCUGUGUAGGGACUUCGUGGAAGGGUUAUUUCCAAGGUGUCUGAUGUGUGGCUUGGCACUCAGAGAAGUCGGGGGUCUCCAGCCCCCCACUCUCCACAACCUGCCUGACAUUCUAACUACGCAUAUUAAAGCUGCAGGUAGCCCUAGGGAACCUUAACAGCAACCUUCUCAACCCCCGCACGCACACACACACACACACACACCCCCAUCGACACACACACACACACACCUUCUUUCAUAAAACAAAACCAUCGAGAGGUAAGAUGACUUGUCCAAGGUCACUUGAUCUAUUUUUUGUUUUUUCUUAUCGCGUAAUGUUUAGACUGUGCUUGGUCUUUCUGGGCACAAUCCCAUGAAGAUAAGAAGCUAUCUUUAUUGUGCCUGAUGACAUUCUGACCUCGGAGUAAAAACGGAACAAAACAAAAAUAAAACUGUUCAGGUGAAAGUCUGACCUUGCUUUUACUGAUGCGAGCAUUACAUUUCUUUUAACCUAAAUUAACAUUAGGGACUGACAAGGAGUAGUACAGAGUUCAGCAAAAAGAAUCUGUGCUAGCAAAGACA